GAACGCACAUUGCGCCCUGUGGUAUUCCGCAGGGCAUGCCUGUUCGAGCGUCAUUUCAACCCUCAAGCUCCGCUUGGUGUUGGGCCCUGCCCCCGCGGCCGGCCCCAAAGACAGUGGCGGCGCCGCUUGGCCCUAAGCGUAGUACAUCUCUCGCUCUAGGACCCGGCGGUGGCCUGCCAGAACCCCAAACUCAUGUGGUUGACCUCGGAUCAGGUAGGGAUACCCGCUGAACUUAAG
rnacentral:misc_RNA from 1 species